CCUAUGGAGAGUAUAAAAAAUGUGAGUAGUGUUUGGAUUUAUUCAACACAAAAACAUACUCGUUGAAAUAGGAA
rnacentral:ncRNA from 1 species